rnacentral:rRNA from 1 species
AUUGAACGCUGGCGGCAGGCCUAACACAUGCAAGUCGAACGAGUGGCGGACGGGUGAGUAAUGUCUGGGAAACUGCCCGAUGGAGGGGGAUAACUACUGGAAACGGUAGCUAAUACCGCAUACCAUCGGAUGUGCCCAGAUGGGAUUCGCUUGUAGGUGAGGUAACGGCCCACCUAGGCGACGAUCCCGAGCUGGUCGGAGAGGAUGAACAGCCACGCUGGAACUGAGACACGGUCCAGUCUCUUACGGGAGUCAGCAGUGGGGAAUAUGGCACAAUGGGCGUAAGCCUGAUGCAGCCAGGCCGCGGGUAUGAAUAAGGCCUUCGGGUUGUAAAGUACUUUCAGCGGGGAGGCGUUACCCGCAGAAGAAGCACCGGCUAACUCCGUGCCCGCAGCCGCGGUAAUAC